AAUCAACGCUGGCGGCGUGCCUCAGACAUGCAAGUCGAACGAUUAAAGCUCUCUUCGGAGAGUGCAUAGAGUGGCGCACGGGUGAGUAACACGUGAGUAAUCUACCCUCGAGUGGGGAAUAACGUCCGGAAACGGGCGCUAAUACCGCAUAACGCAGCGGCACCGUAAGGUGACAGUUGUUAAAGAUUUAUCGCUUGAGGAGGAGCUCGCGGCAGAUUAGCUAGUUGGUGGGGUAAUGGCCUACCAAGGCGACGAUCUGUAACCGGUCUUAGAGGACGGUCGGUCACACUGACACUGAAUAACGGGUCAGACUCCUACGGGAGGCAGCAGUCGGGAAUUUUGGGCAAUGGGGGAAACCCUGACCCAGCAACGCCGCGUGAAGGAUGAAGUAUUUCGGUAUGUAAACUUCGAAAGAAUAGGAAGA
rnacentral:rRNA from 1 species